CCUACAAAGUCAAGGUCACUCUUACAGUUUCGAGUGGAGGCUUGCUGGGUGGUAUAACGGGAAGUGAUGUUGUUGCGGAACUUCCUGUGACACUGAUGUCCCCAAAGCCUGCAGAAGUCGAAUUGGAUUAAAUGCCUCUUUAGUUCAGGUCAGAUAUCACAUUUGACACCACGGAUGGUUGAAGCAGCCAGUCAAGGAAAAUCAUCUGUCAUGCAGAGAACACAGAACACAAAGGAACUCAUUAUCAGCAAAGAAAAGCACAAAAUGCUCAAAUUUCCCCUGUAUAUAUUCAAUUCUAUUAUAAAUAACUAUGAGAACUCAAUUACUGAGGGUCAGAAGUCUGUGUGAAAUUUCUGUGCGUGACAUCAUAGCACUAGAAUCCAACAGAUGUGUCCCACACAUUAUUUUUAUGUCAUUAGAAAUUACUAG